AAAUUGAAGAGUUUGAUCAUGGCUCAGAUUGAACGCUGGCGGCAGGCCUAACACAUGCAAGUCGAGCGGUAACACAGAGAGCUUGCUCUCGGGUGACGAGCGGCGGACGGGUGAGUAAUGUCUGGGAAACUGCCUGAUGGAGGGGGAUAACUACUGGAAACGGUAGCUAAUACCGCAUAACGUCGCAAGACCAAAGUGGGGGACCUUCGGGCCUCAUGCCAUCAGAUGUGCCCAGAUGGGAUUAGCUAGUAGGUGGGGUAACGGCUCACCUAGGCGACGAUCCCUAGCUGGUCUGAGAGGAUGACCAGCCACACUGGAACUGAGACACGGUCCAGACUCCUACGGGAGGCAGCAGUGGGGAAUAUUGCACAAUGGGCGCAAGCCUGAUGCAGCCAUGCCGCGUGUGUGAAGAAGGCCUUCGGGUUGUAAAGCACUUUCAGCGGGGAGGAAGGCGGUGAGGUUAAUAACCUCACCGAUUGACGUUACCCGCAGAAGAAGCACCGGCUAACUCCGUGCCAGCAGCCGCGGUAAUACGGAGGGUGCAAGCGUUAAUCGGAAUUACUGGGCGUAAAGCGCACGCAGGCGGUCUGUCAAGUCGGAUGUGAAAUCCCCGGGCUCAACCUGGGAACUGCAUUCGAAACUGGCAGGCUAGAGUCUUGUAGAGGGGGGUAGAAUUCCAGGUGUAGCGGUGAAAUGCGUAGAGAUCUGGAGGAAUACCGGUGGCGAAGGCGGCCCCCUGGACAAAGACUGACGCUCAGGUGCGAAAGCGUGGGGAGCAAACAGGAUUAGAUACCCUGGUAGUCCACGCCGUAAACGAUGUCGAUUUGGAGGUUGUGCCCUUGAGGCGUGGCUUCCGGAGCUAACGCGUUAAAUCGACCGCCUGGGGAGUACGGCCGCAAGGUUAAAACUCAAAUGAAUUGACGGGGGCCCGCACAAGCGGUGGAGCAUGUGGUUUAAUUCGAUGCAACGCGAAGAACCUUACCUGGUCUUGACAUCCACAGAACUUUCCAGAGAUGGAUUGGUGCCUUCGGGAACUGUGAGACAGGUGCUGCAUGGCUGUCGUCAGCUCGUGUUGUGAAAUGUUGGGUUAAGUCCCGCAACGAGCGCAACCCUUAUCCUUUGUUGCCAGCGGUCCGGCCGGGAACUCAAAGGAGACUGCCAGUGAUAAACUGGAGGAAGGUGGGGAUGACGUCAAGUCAUCAUGGCCCUUACGACCAGGGCUACACACGUGCUACAAUGGCAUAUACAAAGAGAAGCGACCUCGCGAGAGCAAGCGGACCUCAUAAAGUAUGUCGUAGUCCGGAUUGGAGUCUGCAACUCGACUCCAUGAAGUCGGAAUCGCUAGUAAUCGUAGAUCAGAAUGCUACGGUGAAUACGUUCCCGGGCCUUGUACACACCGCCCGUCACACCAUGGGAGUGGGUUGCAAAAGAAGUAGGUAGCUUAACCUUCGGGAGGGCGCUUACCACUUUGUGAUUCAUGACUGGGGUGAAGUCGUAACAAGGUAACCGUAGGGGAACCUGCGGUUGGAUCACCUCCUUACCUUAAAGAA
rnacentral:rRNA from 1 species